UUGUUGCUGAAGCAGUUCCCUCUCUCUCCACAGUAGGGAGUAUGGACCAUUAAUGGGCAUGCUAUAAUAAAACACAUGGAGUUAUCAGGGCCGCCAGUCUCUCAAGUACAGGCUGAGCCGGUAGUAUAAUACUCCAACACUC